UUUAUGAGGACUUUCAGCGACACUGUUUGCGAUAGAAAGAGCCUUCCGUUUAUCAUGUUAUGUUGGGCCGGGUUUAUUCGUCGGCAUAACGGCCAUAAACUGUAUUGGAACCGCUGCCAAGCGUCAUUUUUCGUGACUUGGUUCAAUCCUAGAUUUUUGUGAAUACGUCUGCUUUCUCAAGAUUUGGACCAGUCAUCUCUGAAAUAAAAGUUCCAUUUUGUU